rnacentral:lncRNA from 1 species
UUAUAUGCCCAGACCGUUAACCAACCUGAAAACUCCUGCAACAAAAUUGAAGACGUUGAUACCAUUGAGGAUGCUGAAGACACCUGCAGUUAAGUUUGCGACUAGAUUUCCAGGGACGGGUAGGUUGGCAUUGCACUGAGCCAACAAUGUGGUAACAAUCACUCGGCAACCCCCGAGUUGAAGAAAGUCUUGUAUAGUUAAUUGAGUGAAUUGGUCAACAGGACCCAAAGUGAUGUUAAAUCUCCCGGAUUCGUCUGUUGUUGUUCUUGCAACAGUGAAAUUUCGGCACCGCAGUUCCACUGCCGCUUCUGCAUAAGUACAUAAUAUCUGUUAACAGCAUGAUGACAACUACACAAUAUAUAUAUACUCACAUGAUGCAAUAUAUAUAUGCACGCCACAUUGAAUAUAAUCAAUAAGAUUGCAUUGUAAAUAUUUACUCACGAGGAAAAGGCGAGGCAACGCCUCCCGGGAACGUCUGAUUGAUCUGACAUAACACCGUCCCGCCGAUGUUAAACACGUUAUUAGCAAUAGGGUUCACGAGUUGAGCUUCAACACCCGAGGGAGCUGCCAUGAAUGCGGAAAUGGCAACCAAUAGGACAAGUAAGAGGGCGCUGUUAAGGGAGGCCAUUGAGGUUUGAAGUUUAGGAGAUCUGGUUGAUGAUAGAUCGAGGAUGUUGUUUUGAUGAGAUUCAGUGAGUUGUGCGCGAGCUUAUUUAUAGUACUUGGUCGGGGCAUGCUCCGAGGCCAGGUGAUAAUGGUAAUGUUUGUCUUUUAAUAGUGCUUCUACAAUCAAUAUACUUAUAUAAAGGAGAAGCGAGGGGCGUGUAGGUGGCGCCUCUCACAUCGCUGUCAUAAGUAUAGUGACAAAUUUAGUUAUCUAUACGUGAGUUGUUUAAUCCCUCUAUUAACUUAUUUUAUUAAAGAAAUUUAUUAAAUUUCUGUUCAAAAAUAAUAAAAUUCAAAUAUAUUAAUCUUAACAUUUUGGUCAGGUCAAGAACUUUAACGAAAAUUUCAUUGAUUAGAAGUGACUCACUAAAUAUGUAUAUAUAGCUUCUGUUAAUUAUUUAGUACUCCUACCUAGCUACCUGGAAUCAUCGCUGACAUAUAUACUUAGCUAGGGCUUACUGUCAAAUAUAAAUCCAACGUUUUUGGCCAAAUAUGUUUUGUGGUGAAAUGUCUGUAUAGGUUAGGCCCACUUUGAUCUUCUUUGAUCAUUCACGAAUAUUCUUCAGGACAACCCCAAGUUGCCAACUUUGUAUCCAAUGAUAUAUAACGCAGCGGGUAGAUGAAUUCAGGCAACUUGAUAUAUCAUACAGUAGUGCUGGCCCUUUAUAUGCUAUAUAUUGCUGCCACCAGGAGUUACACUAUAUAUAUAGUUCCCCACCCACAAGCACCAUGCAAGUUGUACGGAAAUCUUGUAGGAUAUCAGCACAGACAUGUUAACUGGAACUCAGGUUUAUUUUCAUACACUUUCUGAUAACCAUAUAAUUAAAAACAAACAACGUUUAAAGAAAAACCACUCCUUAAAAUAUGCAAAUAGUUUCCUGCAUAAACUCCAUCACAUAAACAUUUCCCUAGAAAUCCUCCACUACUCUACUACUCUUUCCAGACUACAAUAAGUCAUACUCUUAACAAAAGCAUUCAAAAACUAAAUGAAACGAAUACUUAAAUUUAAGUUUAAGAUUAAAUUCCAACAAAUCUCCUUAUCAGAAUCUCAGUACACAAUCUCAUCACGUAAUUUAUAUAGUUUAUUAUCAUGAUAUCUGGUUUCUUAUCACUUUUUCAAGAUUCAAGUUCAAUAUUUGUUUAUGUUUCUGAAUCAGUGAACAAUGAGCUGUACCCGUACUACAACACAUCCUGAUUUUUUUUUUUGACGGAUUUUAAGCCUAGAAUCCAUUAAUACACUGGAAAAAAAACUUUUUUCAUAAUAUUGAAGAAUAUAAGAUAAUUCCAUAAUAUAACUGGGUACCUCUAAAUCUUGUAGAAUAUAAAGUAACCAUUCCAUAAUAUUGGUCCUCAAUCACCGAAAACCCUAAUGUUGCGUUUGGUUACGGAGAAUGAAAUGAGUAAAAUUACUCGAACCUAAUAGAGAUACGAGGGAAGUUUUGAAAUAAAUUUGAAUGAGUGCAAAAUUGUAUGAUGAGAUUUGAGAAGAAAUUGGAGGUAGGAGAGAAUGGAGCAUUCCAUCUCAAAUUAAAAGUAUGAUCUCUGGUACAUAAUGUAAGGAACGGAAUGGAUGAAGGAAUGAAAUUUGUUAAUAAUUGCUCAAAAUAUAGUUCAUUUUUCAUCCAUUCCUUCCGGAUCAUUCACCCCAACCAAACACAACAUAACAAACUUAACAAAUAAUUGAUGUAGUUGGACAUUGCUAUCAUUUGCACCGACUCAUCAUCAUUGUCUUGCAACGAAUUGAAUUUGUUAUGAACCUCAUUCUUUGUUUAGGCUUUCUCUCUUCAAGAUAUUCAGGCAACUUGAUAUAUCAUAUAGUAGUGCUCGCCCAUUAUAUGCUAUAUAUUGUUGCCACCAGGAGUUACACUAUAUAUAUAGUUCUCCACCCACAAGCACCAUGCAAGUGGUACGGAAAUCUUGUAGGAUAUCAGCACAGACAUGUUAACUGGAACUCAAGUUUAUUUUCAUACACUUUCUGAUAACCAUAUAAUUAAUAACAUACAACGGUUAAAUAAAAACCACUCCUAAAAAUAAGCAACUAGUUUCCUGCAUAAACUCCAUCACAUAAACAUUUGCCUAGAAUUAGUCCUCAACUACUCUACUACUGUUUCCCCACUACAAUACUAGACUAAGUAACAAAAGCAUUCGAAAACUAAAUAAAACGAAUACUUAAAUUUAAGUUUAAAAUUAAAUACCAACAAAUCUCCUUAUCAGAAUCUCAGUACACAAUUUCAUCAUGUAAUUCAUAUAGUUUAUGAUCAUGAUAUUUGGUUUCUUAUCACUCUUUCAAGAUUCAUGUUCAAAAUUUGUUUAUGUAGUUUAUAUUUAUGAAUCAGUGAACAAUGACCAGUACCCAUCCUACAACAAAUCCUAUUUUUUUGACGGAUUUCGAAUCCAUCAAUACACUGAAAAAAACUCAUUCUAUAAUAUCAAAGAAUAAAAGAUAACCAUUCCAUAAUAUUGGUCAUCAAUCACCGAAAAUCCUAACAAACUUAACAAAUAAUUGAUAGUAGUUGGACAUUGCUAUGAUUUGCGCUGACUCAUCAUUAUUGUCAUGCAACGAUAAUUGAAUUUGUUAUGCACCUAAUUUUUUGCUUAGGCUUUCUCUCUUCAAGAUAUUAUUUAGGAGAGAAACUGAAAGAUAAAGACAGAUUUGUAACUCAUGUUAUUGUGGAGGCGGAAGCAAAGUGUGGGAUUAGGAUUUUGAGUUGUGUAAAAUAUUUUAUUGCAAAGUUGCGUAUCUGGAGUUUACAUGUACAAAUCAGUUUAAAAAUUACAAAUACAUCAACUUUUAGUAUGAGUCGUCCAAUUAAGUUAUCAUCCAAUGGUGUUGAAUAUGAUAUUUAGAGACUCCAAAAUUUUUGAUCUCCAAAGAGCUGAACUACCCACACACAUAUAGAGAUUUACUCCACUUAAAACUCACUUGAAAUUAAAAACCAUAAACAAUUGACUGAGAUACUAAUAUUUAAUAGUAAUUCAGUUUUGUCCAAACCCCGCUCGUACCCCCACCCCUGUUCGCCCCUAACCCAUCCUAGCCCCGGCCCCACUCUUCUUUCGAUCACUGUCAUCAUCUCCGAUUACCAUCGUUAAUUCCGACCUAGAAAUCAAUGAUGGGAACAAUUGCAAUUAGUGAUUAUUCAGUUUCAUCUCAUCCUCUGCCCAACCCAGUCCCAGCCCAAGCAACAACCCCAACCAAGCCUAAAUCAAUUACAAAAUAAGCGGCACCCCAGUCCCAAGCAACAACCCCAUCCUAACUGAAAUCUAUUACAAAAUAAGUGGAUACAAGCCAGGAGUCUUGAGUCGAAGAGGAGCAAGUGUCGCAAGCUGUAAAUGAGGUGAAAGAGUUGUAGCCUGCUCUUGAUGAGAAUAAAUCUCCACUACUUGAACCUACCAUGACUCAGUUUAAGUGAAAGACUGAGCGGGGGUGUUUCAAAACAGGCGGGGACGAGGAUGGUGGUUGCAGGAGUAAUGCUACCUGCACAUAAACUCCUACAAAAUUCUUUCACAGAAUGACGUGGUAGAGCCACCUUUGCAUAAUAGUAAUGUGUCUUGCCGGCCACUAUUUUUGUGUACACGCUUUUCUUUUUCAUUUUUUUUUUCUUAAUAUUGAGAUUGAUGUUUUAGUUCACUUAAAAAAUGUUACAUUUAGUUUUUACUUUUCUUACACUUUUCAUUUUUUUUAAAUUUUUUUAUAUUUAAUAAUUAUAUAAUUUUUAUGUUAUUUACUUUUCACUUAUAUUAUUUAUUUUUUACAUUUAAUACUUGUUGAGUUUUAUAUCUAACUUUUUAUAUCAAAUUCACAAAAAAUAUAUAUUUUGUUUUUAUCGCCCACUAUGCUUGUACAUAUAUAUUUUAUUUUCAUUUUCUUGUUGGAAAAUUGAAAUUAAAUUUGAUAUUCAGUGUACACGUCAUUCUGUGAAAGAAUUCUGCAUGAGUUUAUGUGUACGUAGCAUUACUCUGGUUGCACUAGUUCCAGCAUGGGAUGGCGGGUGGUUGUGCUUGUGGCCGGGAUGGGGCCGGCGAUAGAGGUGGUUGCAGUUGGAGCGUGUGCGCCUGUGCGGGGUUGUUUUGUAUAUAUAUUAAAUAUAGAAUAUCAUGUUAAUUAAUAAAAAAAAACUCACACACUAUUAUAUUUAAGUAUUUUUAGUUUUUAGGAUAUAUUGAUUUGUAUUUGAUAAUCUUCCCAUAUAUAUAAAAUUUCUUUGUCAUUAUUCUAGUGAUUCUCUUGUAACAAACAAUUGUUCCAGCCUACCAGAUGUGUACAACAUUAGUAUGAGAAACGUUUCUUAUCAUUAAUUUGUUUUAAAUAAACAUUACAUUGCAUUUUUUUAACGUAAAUCAUCGGCUAUUUGUAAGUUGUUACAUAUAUAUAUGCAGCAGUAAAUUAAAGCAUUAAAAUAUCUUGUAUAUAAAUUAGAGGACCUCAAUUGUUACAGAAUAUCACACAUUUGAUUCUGUGUUGAUCCCUCCAUAAUACAAGCUUCGCAAGUAAAAUCAAACGCCAACAUAUAUAAAAAUUAAAAAGUAAAGUAACUUGUCUUAUGAUUGAUUGCUGCCUGCAUAUAUCCAUCAAUAUUACACUGAACUUUAUUUGGGGUACAUAUAUUUGUAACAUCGGCUGAGCGAUCGAUGCUUAUAUAGGAGGAUAUUAUAUGCCCAGACCGUUAACCAACCUGAAAACUCCUGCAACAAAAUUGAAGACGUUGAUACCAUUGAGGAUGCUGAAGACACCUGCAGUUAAGUUUGCGACUAGAUUUCCAGGGACGGGUAGGUUGGCAUUGCACUGAGCCAACAAUGUGGUAACAAUCACUCGGCAACCCCCGAGUUGAAGAAAGUCUUGUAUAGUUAAUUGAGUGAAUUGGUCAACAGGACCCAAAGUGAUGUUAAAUCUCCCGGAUUCGUCUGUUGUUGUUCUUGCAACAGUGAAAUUUCGGCACCGCAGUUC